rnacentral:rRNA from 1 species
GGGUCAGUAGGUUGGUCGUGCCACCGGUACGUACUGGUCUCACUGAUUCCUCCUUCCUGAAGAACCGUAAUGCCAUUAAUUUGGUGUUGCGGGGAAACAGGACUGUUACUUUGAAAGAAUUAGAGUGUUUAAAGCAAGCUAACGCUUGGAUACAUUAGCAUGGAAUAAUGAAAUAGGACGAUCGAUCCUAUUUUGUUGGUUUCUAGGAUUGACGUA